AUGGAUGCUGGGCUGCCUUUGGAUUCACCAGAGUCCCACCAGCGAGGUCCCCUGGACCGUGGACCUCGUGGCCAGCCUGUGUUCUCAUCCAUUCUGGGCAGUCACAGAGCGGAAGAAGCACCAAGACGGGGCAUCUUCAAGACCCUGUUCCUUCUGGCACAGACCCGGAAGGGGGCUGCUGGUCAAGUUGGUGGGCUGCCGGCUGUUCCUGGGCCACACUGCCCUGCUCCCCCGGCAAUGCCCGCGGGGUCCAGGCACGGCUUUCUUCUCAGAAGAGCACUGGAAAGGGAGCGGAGCGUGCGGGGCCCAGGUUUGGGAUGCGCUGAGAGAGCUCCGGGACUCCAGGAGGUGCUGCCUCCACACUGGGCACUUCCCGUGAACCUUGCAGCUGCCUGGUCUCCAGCUGAGGCUGCAUCACCAGGCGGGAGCGCUGACCCUGAAGCGGGGGAUCCCUCCACAGAGCGGCACCCCGCGGGCACGAGGUACACUCCGGGCUCCGCCCCGUCUCUGACUCUCACACUCGUUCCACUGUUGGACCUCGUUUGACCACCUCUUCCAGUGGCUUCCUCCUGUGCAUCCAUGGCAAGACACUCCGCCUGCUUCCUGGCUUCUGACUCCAUGUCUUCCAGAACUUUCUCUCUGUUUACGUUUUGAACUAUUCCUAUGCUCGUUUUUCUAGAAAGUUAAUUCUGCUUUCAGCUCCCUAAUCCUUAUUUUCAAACCUUCUGUAGAGUCUGAUCUUUGAAUUCUCAUGUUCUCCUAUUGAUCCUUCCUCACAGCCUCUACUGUCCUUGGUCGAUGCCAAGGCCUUGUGGAUUUCUCUUAUUAGAUAAAUGUUUUUUCAAAAGCUG
rnacentral:lncRNA from 1 species